GAUGAACGCUGGCGGCGUGCCUAAUACAUGCAAGUCGAGCGAACAGACGAGAGUGCUUGCACUCUCUGACGUUAGCGGCGGACGGGUGAGUAACACGUGGGUAACCUACCUAUAAGACUGGGAUAACUUCGGGAAACCGGAGCUAAUACCGGAUAAUAUUUAGCUUCGCAUGAAGCAAUAGUGAAAGACGGUUCUGCUGUCACUUAUAGAUGGACCCGCGGUGUAUUAGCUAGUUGGUGAGGUAACGGCUCACCAAGGCAACGAUACAUAGCCGACCUGAGAGGGUGAUCGGCCACACUGGGACUGAGACACGGCCCAGACUCCUACGGGAGGCAGCAGUAGGGACUCUUCCGCAAUGGACGAAAGUCUGACGGAGCAAUGCCGCGUGAGUGAAGAAGGUUUUCGGAUCGUAAAACUCUGUUGUAAGGGAAGAACAAGUACGUUAGUAACUGAACGUACCUUGACGGUACCUUACCAGAAAGCCACGGCUAACUACGUG
rnacentral:rRNA from 1 species